rnacentral:lncRNA from 1 species
GGAAGACAAAAAUCGCAUGAAUCUUGGUCAGCCAUCUACCAAUUUACUGCUGAAUUGAGAGUUACAUGUGCAAUAUUCUUUAGAAAAUGCUUUACGACACCGACUAAGUGUUGAUUCGGUAAACUUAGUAUUUGCCGGUCUAUCGUGUACGGUACCAAUUCCAACAAAAUCAUGCGUGUCAGCAAAUCUAUCGAUCGGCAAGCGUAAAAUUU